GCACUUUUUCAAUCCCUGGGAAGGAGAGAGCGCGAGACAAGACGGGACAUCCUACAAAGCCUAACAUUUCUGCCAAUAUUACAGAAUGGACAGCUUAGGAUACCACACGGAGGGGAGUGAAGGAGCCUUGGGGAUGCCUGAAGGAGGGGCAGUGAAGGAGGGAGGCCUGGAGGUGAAGGAAAUGCAGAAAAUUCCUCUAAUACUGAGCGCUUCUCUGGUCAGACCAUCCUUCACUGAAUAUUUGGACCGAGGCUUCAAGAUACGAGUGAGCCAGGCGACCCUCCAGAACAGCGCCAUCCUGCCCACUUGUGGUGUAGCAUCCCUGAUCGUACCCCUCCUCCCUCCUCCUCCUCCUCCUCCUCCAGCAAAGAAGAGACCUUUGACCAGCUGGUGGACAGGGUCCGCGCCUUUAGCCGAGUACACGCGGGGGGCGUUGUAAUACUGGUGGGUGCUGUGUUUGGCAUGGAGGAGGUGAACGGGGUGUUGGGGAAGUUAUCAAGGCGGUUUACUACCACGCCCUCCCCUGCUACUGCCUGCCCACGGGGAAGCCCAGGCUGCCGCGCACAUACAACUACUGGCAAAGGUUAGUGGUGGUGGUGGUAGUGAUGGUGGUGGUGGUGAUGGUGGUGGUGGUGGUGGUGGUGGUGCAAGAUGAUGAUGAUGAUGAUGAUGAGAAGCAAGAGAAGGAGGAGGAAGAGAAGAAUGAGGAUAAGGAAGAGGAAGACGAGUGGGGGAGGAGUAGGAAGAGGAAGAGGAGGAGGUUUGCUUUAGUAGGAAGAGGAGGAGGAGGAGGAGGAGGAAGAAGAGGAAGAUUAGGAGGAA